rnacentral:lncRNA from 1 species
AAACCACCUUCUUAUCAGCCUAUUUCAACAUGAGCACAGUCUAAACGCUCUGGCCUGGGGGCUGAAAAGGGUCACUCUCUAGGGAAUGGGGGUCUACAACCAUGUACCAGCUACAGCCAGUGCAAGAAGCCUGAGGCCAACUGAGGACCAAGCUCAAGGUACCAGAUGAAGUGUGAAAACCAGAUCCAAAGAUGAAGUCAUGAAAUGAUCAAGGCUCAGAAAGUUAAUCUUCCCAAAUGACGCAGUCAGCAGGUAACCACGGCCAAGUCCCCUCCAUCACACCACCAUCCCCCGGUGGCCGUAAAGGAAUGCUACCAAGAGACUGUCAAGAAAGAAAGAAAGAAAGAAGAAUUUCACCUCUCAUCUCCUUUUCUACAUCAGAAACUACAGAAUUCCUUAACUGUCAACACUACUCAGAUUGACUGUUCCUAUGAUACGAUAUUGACUUUUCUGAUACUGCACAUAAAUAUAAAGGUUCUAGAUUAAACUCAGCUUCCCUAUUUAAAUGAAAAAAGAAAAGAUGAAGUUCAAGAUUCUUCGUGUACUUUCUCUCCUUUAUUGAGUGAUAGCCU